rnacentral:rRNA from 1 species
CGACCCCAGGUCAGGCCACACGACUCU